rnacentral:rRNA from 1 species
UACGUAGGGUGCAAGCGUUAUUCGGAAUUACUGGGCGUAAAGCGUGCGCAGGCGGUGAUGUAAGUCAGAUGUUAAAUCUCCGGGCUCAACCUGGGAACUGCAUUUGUGACUGCAUCGCUGGAGUGCGGCAGAGGGGGAUGGAAUUCCGCGUGUAGCAGUGAAAUGCGUAGAUAUGCGGAGGAACACCGAUGGCGAAGGCAAUCCCCUGGGACUGUACUGACGCUGAGGAGCGAAAGCGUGGGGAGCGAACAGG